AUUGAACGCUGGCGGCAGGCUUAACACAUGCAAGUCGAGCGGAGUGAUGGUGCUUGCACUAUCACUUAGCGGCGGACGGGUGAGUAAUGCUUAGGAAUCUGCCUAUUAGUGGGGGACAACAUCUCGAAAGGGAUGCUAAUACCGCAUACGUCCUACGGGAGAAAGCAGGGGAUCACUUGUGACCUUGCGCUAAUAGAUGAGCCUAAGUCGGAUUAGCUAGUUGGUGGGGUAAAGGCCUACCAAGGCGACGAUCUGUAGCGGGUCUGAGAGGAUGAUCGGCCACACUGGUACUAGGACACGGCGCAGAUUCCUACGGGAGGCAGCAGUGGGGAAUAUUGGUCAAUGGGGGGAACCCUGAGCCAGCCAUGCCGCGUGUGUGAAGAAGGCCUUAUGGUUGUAAAGCACUUUAAGCGAGGAGGAGGCUCUUUUGGUUAAUACCCAAGAUGAGUGGACGUUACUCGCAGAGUAAGCACCGGCUAACUCUGUGCCAGCCGCCGCGGUAACAC
rnacentral:rRNA from 1 species